GACGAACGCUGGCGGCGUGCUUAACACAUGCAAGUCGAACGGAAAGGCCCCUUCGGGGGUACUCGCGUGGCGAACGGGUGAGUAACACGUGAGUAACCUGCCCUUGACUUCGGGAUAACUUCAGGAAACUGGGGCUAAUACCGGAUAGGAAUCCUUGCUUCAUGGUGGGGGUUGGAAAGCUUCGUCGGUUUUGGAUGGACUCGCGGCUUAUCAGCUUGUUGGUGGGGUAGUGGCUUACCAAGGCCUUGACGGGUAGCCGGCCUGAGAGGGCGACCGGCCACAUUGGGAAUGAGAUACGGCCCAGACUCCUACGGGAGGCAGCAGUGGGGAAUAUUGCACAAGGGGCGGAAGCCUGAUGCAGCAACGCCGCGUGCGGGAUGACGGCCUUCGGGUUGUAAACCGCUUUCAGCAGGGGCGAAGCUUGUGGUGACGGUACCUGCAGAAGAAGCACCGGCUAACUACGUG
rnacentral:rRNA from 1 species